rnacentral:misc_RNA from 1 species
UUGUUGAAGCAAAUAAUGGAGUUGUUAGUAGAAACGAGGCCGUUUAGAAUAGUAGAAGAAUCAAUUUCAGCUGAAAGUUCAGAUCCUACAAAUGCUGUCAUAUUUGUUGGAAUCAGUUUGUUAUUGGGAAUCGGUUGUAGACAUUUGUUGAGGGGUACUAGAGUACCUUACUCUGUUGCUUUGCUUGUUCUUGGUAUUGGACUUGGGGCUUUAGAGUAUGGAACACAUCAUGGGUUGGGAAGAAUUGGCGAUGGUAUCCGUAUCUGGGCAAACAUUGAUCCUGAUCUUUUAUUGGCGGUUUUCCUUCCUGCUCUUCUUUUCGAGAGUGCUUUCUCAAUGGAAAUUCACCAGAUAAAGAGGUGUGCAGUACAGAUGCUUUUACUUGCUGGGCCUGGCGUGCUUAUUUCCACCUUUUUUCUUGGAGCUGCUCUCAAGAUUGCUUUUCCUUAUAACUGGAGCUGGUCAACAUCAUUGUUGCUUGGUGGACUUCUAAGCGCUACUGAUCCUGUGGCUGUUGUGGCCCUUCUGAAGGAGCUUGGUGCCAGCAAGAAAUUGGGUACCAUAAUUGAAGGAGAGUCCUUGAUGA